GGCAGCCCUCCCUGCGCCUCUGUGCCGCAGGUGCUCCCUGGGGUUGUGGGCAGGGGGCCCUUGUUCGUAGGAGCUGCCCCAUGCUGAUGGCAUCCAGCCUUCCCCGGUGUGAUUUGCCCCAUCCUGGUGGGAUCUGACCUUUCCCACUGGAGUCUGCCCCAUUCUGGUGAGAUCUACCCCUCCCCAGCAGGACCUGCCCAUGCUGGUGGGAUCUGGCCUUUCCCGAUAGAUUUUCCCCAUUCCAGUGGGAUCUGCCCCAUCCUGGUGCGAUCUGGCCUUUCCCAAUGGGCUUUUCCCCAUUCUGGUAGGAUCUGCUUCCCCAUUCCAGUGGGAUCUACCCCAUCCUGGUGGGAUCUGGUCUUUCCCAACAGGACCUGUCCCUUCCUGGUGGGAUUCCCAGCCCUAGCAUCUGGGGAGGAUGGGCAGCAGGUUGAAAAGCACUAGAGCAGCUCUUGGAAGCAGGGAUGUGGCAGGUGACCGCUUGUGAUGUGGUGGCCUUUUAUGCUUGUGGACACGUGUUCUUGGGACAGGGUGUUGGGGUGCAGCACCUGCCAUAGGGUGCGGGCAGGUCCCAGGUGCUGGCUUAACAUAAUAAGUAAGAACAAUAGAAAGUAGGCACUCGGGUUUAAAACCACGCGUCUGUUAGUGGCCAGCCUAAGCCUGGUGGUUAUGCUCGGUUGAAAGCUGGGUGUAAAACAGGCCUUGAAGAGCAGCACUUGCUCCGGGAUGAAAGAGGGGAAAAAGAGCGAGAGCUGGAGACUGCCUUCCUUCCUGCAGUGCAUUUAUCGUGGCCGCAGCAGCCAGAGAAAAGGCCGCGUAACAGAAGCUGCAAACGUUCACGAAGAUGCAUUUUUCAGCUGCAGAGAGUGACACUUCCCCUCUUGAGGAGUGUGCAGUGGUGUAGGACUCUCUUGGUCAAACGUUUGUCAACAUCCUUCAGAUCUUUCACUUGGAGUCAAAACAUGCUGAGUCCAGUGGGUAAUUAUGCCCUGGGAAGCGCUGCUGAACUCUGCUGCGUUUUGCAGGAGUUCCUGGUGGCAGAAUUUCUCUUCUUCUAAACAAUGAAUUGGAGGCAUCAUCCCCAUCUUAGUGAUGUUUUCUGCAAAUGCAGCUGGAAGAAGCGUUC
rnacentral:lncRNA from 1 species